UGUCAUGCCCUUAGAUGUUCUGGGCCGCACGCGCGUUACAAUGGUAUACAUUAGAACGUGCUCUUAAUGGGCGUCUCCGCAGCCGACGGGUUGCGGUAACCCCUAAUCUCUCCCUUGACUGGGACAGACUAUUGCAAUUAUUGGUCUCCAACGAGGAAUUUAGUAGCACAGUC
rnacentral:rRNA from 1 species